UUGGGGGNCAGAAAACCCAUGACAGNCGCAGGUAAAGAAACCCCGGCUAACUCCGUGCCAGCAGCCGCGGUAAUACGGAGGGGGUUAGCGUUGUUCGGAAUUACUGGGCGUAAAGCGCACGUAGGCGGACUAANNAGUCAGGGGUGAAAUCCCGGGUUUUUUUUCNCGGAACUGNUUUUGAUACUGNUAGUCUUGAGUACGAGAGAGGUGAGUGGAAUUCCAAGUGUAGAGGUGAAAUUCGUAGAUAUUUNGAGGAACACCAGUGGCGAAGGCGGCUCACUGGCUCGAUACUGACGCUGAGGUGCGAAAGUGUGGGGAGCAAAACAGGAUUAGAUACCCUGGNAGUCCACAGCCGCAAACGAUGAAUGCCAGACGUCGGGCAGU
rnacentral:rRNA from 1 species